rnacentral:rRNA from 1 species
UACGGAGGGGGCUAGCGUUGCUCGGAAUCACUGGGCGUAAAGGGUGCGUAGGCGGGGUGUUAAGUCAGAGGUGAAAUCCUGGAGCUCAACUCCAGAACUGCCUUUGAUACUGAAAGUCUUGAGUAUGGGAGAGGUGAGUGGAACUGCGAGUGUAGAGGUGAAAUUCGUAGAUAUUCGCAAGAACACCAGUGGCGAAGGCGGCUCCCUGGCCCAUUACUGACGCUGAGGCACGAAAGCGUGGGGAGCAAACAGG